GGUUCCCCCCUUGGGGGAUCCCUAGAAAUUGGAAAG
rnacentral:other from 1 species